rnacentral:rRNA from 1 species
AUUGAACGCUGGCGGCAGGCCUAACACAUGCAAGUCGAACGAGUGGCGGACGGGUGAGUAAUGUCUGGGAAACUGCCCGAGGGAGGGGGAUAACUACUGGACACGGUAGCUAAUACCGCAUACCAUCGGAUGUGCCCAGAUGGGAUUGGCUAGGUGGUGGGGUAAGGGCUGACCGAGGCGACGAUCCCUAGCUGGUCUGAGAGGAUGACCAGCCACACUGGAACUUAGAAACGGUCCAGACUCCUACGUGAGGCAGCAGUGGGGAAUAUUGCACAAUGGGCGCAAGCCUGAUGCAGCCAUGCCGCGUGUAUGAAGAAGGCCUUCGGGUUGUAAAGUACUUUCAGCGAGGAGGCGUUACUCGCAGAAGAAGCACCGGCUAACUCCGUGCCAGCAGCCGCGGUAAUUC